rnacentral:misc_RNA from 1 species
UCACAGUAUCAAGCCUGGCUUGUUGUUGGGCCCUUUGUCACUGGGUGACAGGUCUAAAAGAUAAUGAGCGGUGUCAUACCGACCCUGUAUGCAAUGAGCUUUUCACAGCACGCAUCUGGCGGUCGUGUGGCCCAGUUCUCCCCCCUUAUUUCUCAA